GCAUGGUAGCCGAGUUGGUAAAUCGCUUAUCGCUAUUUACUCGGUAUCGAAAGUCGAUGGUUCGAUUCCAUCCUGAAGCA